CAUCGCCUUUUUGACUAUAAUUUAAGGUUUCACCUGCCCAAUGAGGAUUUUAAUGGCCGCGAUAUUUUGAUCGUGCGAAGGUAGCAUAAUCAUUAGUUUUUUUAUUGAAAGCUGGAAUGAAUGGUAGGACGAGAAAGAAACUGUCUCAUUAUUAAUUAUUUAGAAUUUUAUUUUUAAGUUAAAAAGCUUAAAUUUUAUUUAAAGACGAGAAGACCCUAUAGAGUUUUAUAUACUUAUUUUGUUUAUGUUGAGGUAUUAAUUUCAUUUUCACUUGAAUGUAUAUUUGGUUGGGGUGACAAAAAAAUUAAAUAAACUUUUUUUUUCUUUUAAUACUUAUAUGUAGAUAAUUGAUCCAUAGUUUAUGAUUAAAAGAUUAAAUUACCUUAGGGAUAACAGCGUAAUUCUUUUUUAGAGUUCUUAUCGAAAGGAGAGAUUGCGACCUCGAUGUUGGAUUAAAGUUUAACUUUGGUGCAGAAGCUAGAGUGUUUAGUCUGUUCGACUAUUAAAACUUUACAUGAUCUGAGU
rnacentral:rRNA from 1 species